GUAAUACGGAGGGGGUUAGCGUUGUUCGGAAUUACUGGGCGUAAAGCGUACGUAGGCGGAUUAGUCAGUCAGAGGUGAAAUCCCAGGGCUCAACCCUGGAACUGCCUUUGAUACUGCUAGUCUUGAGUUCGAGAGAGGUGAGUGGAAUUCCAAGUGUAGAGGUGAAAUUCGUAGAUAUUUGGAGGAACACCAGUGGCGAAGGCGGCUCACUGGCUCGAUACUGACGCUGAGGUACGAAAGUGUGGGGAGCAAACAGGAUUAGAUACCCUGGUAGUCCACACCGUAAACGAUGAAUGCCAGUCGUCGGGCAGUAUACUGUUCGGUGACACACCUAACGGAUUAAGCAUUCCGCCUGGGGAGUACGGUCGCAAGAUUAAAACUCAAAG
rnacentral:rRNA from 1 species